CAACUUUUAACAACGGAUCUCUUGGUUCUCGCAUCGAUGAAGAACGUAGCAAAGUGCGAUAACUAGUGUGAAUUGCAUAUUCAGUGAAUCAUCGAGUCUUUGAACGCAUCUUGCGCUCAUUGGUAUUCCAAUGAGCACSCCUGUUUCAGUAUCAGA
rnacentral:rRNA from 1 species